rnacentral:rRNA from 1 species
AGGGAUCAUUACUGAGUUA